rnacentral:tRNA from 1 species
AGUUUGAAAGCGAAAUAUUUAGCAGCAGAUUCUUACUCUGUAGGUGGACUAUAAGUCCUCAAGCUA